UACGGGGGGGGCAAGCGUUGUUCGGAAUUACUGGGCGUAAAGGGCUCGUAGGUGGCCAACUAAGUCAGACGUGAAAUCCCUCAGCUUAACUGGGGAACUGCGUCUGAUACUGGAUGGCUUGAGUUUGGGAGAGGGAUGCGGAAUUCCAGGUGUAGCGGUGAGAUGCGUAGAUAUCUGGAGGAACACCGGUGGCGAAGGCGGCAUCCUGGACCAAUACUGACACUGAGGAGCGAAAGCCAGGGGAGCAAACGGG
rnacentral:rRNA from 1 species